rnacentral:rRNA from 2 species
CUUGCUCCCUGAAGUCAGCGGCGGACGGGUGAGUAACACGUGGGCAACCUGCCUGUAAGACUGGGAUAACUCCGGGAAACCGGGGCUAAUACCGGAUAAUUCUUUCCCUCACAUGAGGGAAAGCUGAAAGAUGGCAUCUCGCUAUCACUUACAGAUGGGCCCGCGGCGCAUUAACUAGUUGGUGAGGUAACGGCUCACCAAGGCCACGAUGCGUAGCCAACCUGAAAGGGUGAUCGGCCACACUGGGACUGAAACACGGCCCAAACUCCUACGGGAGGCAGCAGUAGGGAAUCUUCCGCAAUGGACGAAAGUCUGACGGAACAACGCCCCGUGAGUGAUGAAGGUUUUCGGAUCGUAAAACUCUGUUGUCAGGGAAAAACAAGUACCGGAGUAACUGCCGGUACCUUGACGGUACCUGACCAGAAAGCCACGGCUAACUACGUGCCAGCAGCCGCGGUAAUACGUAGGUGGCAAGCGUUGUCCGGAAUUAUUGGGCGUAAAGCGCGCGCAGGCGGUUCCUUAAGUCUGAUGUGAAAGCCCCCGGCUCAACCGGGGAGGGUCAUUGGAAACUGGGGAACUUGAGUGCAGAAGAGAAGAGUGGAAUUCCACGUGUAGCGGUGAAAUGCGUAGAGAUGUGGAGGAACACCAGUGGCGAAGGCGACUCUUUGGUCUGUAACUGACGCUGAGGCGCGAAAGCGUGGGGAGCAAACAGGAUUAGAUACCCUGGUAGUCCACGCCGUAAACGAUGAGUGCUAAGUGUUAGAGGGUUUCCGCCCUUUAGUGCUGCAGCAAACGCAUUAAGCACUCCGCCUGGGGAGUACGGCCGCAAGGCUGAAACUCAAAGGAAUUGACGGGGGCCCGCACAAGCGGUGGAGCAUGUGGUUUAAUUCGAAGCAACGCGAAGAACCUUACCAGGUCUUGACAUCUCCUGACAACCCUAGAGAUAGGGCGUUCCCCUUCGGGGGACAGGAUGACAGGUGGUGCAUGGUUGUCGUCAGCUCGUGUCGUGAGAUGUUGGGUUAAGUCCCGCAACGAGCGCAACCCUUGAUCUUAGUUGCCAGCAUUCAGUUGGGCACUCUAAGGUGACUGCCGGUGACAAACCGGAGGAAGGUGGGGAUGACGUCAAAUCAUCAUGCCCCUUAUGACCUGGGCUACACACGUGCUACAAUGGAUGGUACAA